rnacentral:rRNA from 1 species
UACAGAGGCCACGAGCGUUAGGCGGAAUCACUGGGCUUAAAGCGUGUGUAGGUGGAUGACUAAGUCCCUUGUGAAAUCCCACGGCUCAACCGUGGAACUGCUUGGUAUACUGGUUGUCUUGAGGCACUCAGGGGCGAGCGGAACAGAUGGUGGAGCGGUGAAAUGCGUAGAUAUCAUCUGGAACGCCAAUGGUGAAGACAGCUCGCUGGGGGUGUACUGACACUGAGACACGAAAGCCAGGGGAGCAAACGGG